UAAUUAAGUGUAAAAAGUAAUUGCCUUCUAAGCAGGCGGUCGAAGGUUCGAAUCCUUC
rnacentral:tRNA from 1 species